rnacentral:tRNA from 1 species
GCCUCUGUGGUGGAAUUGGUAGACGCGAUAGACUCAAAAUCUGUUGUCCCUUGGGACGUGUCCGUUCAAGUCGGACCAGAGGCACCA